rnacentral:tRNA from 1 species
GGUUAAGCCUAGUGGUUAAGGCUUUGGAUCGCCAAUCCGGAGACGGCGGGUUCGAUUCCCGUUUUGGUCA